rnacentral:misc_RNA from 1 species
AGUCGUAACAAGGUCUCCGUUGGUGAACCAGCGGAGGGAUCAUUACCGAGUUUACAACUCCCAAACCCCUGUGAACAUACCAAUUGUUGCCUCGGCGGAUCAGCCCGCUCCCGGUAAAACGGGACGGCCCGCCAGAGGACCCCUAAACUCUGUUUCUAUAUGUAACUUCUGAGUAAAACCAUAAAUAAAUCAAAACUUUCAACAACGGAUCUCUUGGUUCUGGCAUCGAUGAAGAACGCAGCAAAAUGCGAUAAGUAAUGUGAAUUGCAGAAUUCAGUGAAUCAUCGAAUCUUUGAACGCACAUUGCGCCCGCCAGUAUUCUGGCGGGCAUGCCUGUUCGAGCGUCAUUUCAACCCUCAAGCCCAGCUUGGUGUUGGGACUCGCGAGUCAAAUCGCGUUCCCCAAAUUGAUUGGCGGUCACGUCGAGCUUCCAUAGCGUAGUAGUAAAACCCUCGUUACUGGUAAUCGUCGCGGCCACGCCGUUAAACCCCAACUUCUGAAUGUUGACCUCGGAUCAGUAGGAAUACCCGCUGAACCCUAAGCAUAUCAAUA